GAGUGAGGGGGUGACUAGUGGCAGAGUGAGGGAAGGAAGGGGUGACUAGUGACAGAGUUAGGGAGGUGGUGACUGUCACUAGUUACCACCUCCCUUACUCUGCCACUAGUCACCCCCUCACUCUAGUGACCCUCCCUCACCCCUCCGUCCCUUACUCUGUCACCAGUCAUCCCCUCCCUC